UACGUAGGGUGCGAGCGUUGUCCGGAAUUAUUGGGCGUAAAGAGCUCGUAGGCGGUCUGUCGCGUCGGCUGUGAAAACUCGGGGCUCAACUCCGAGCCUGCAGUCGAUACUGGCAGACUAGAGUGCUGUAGGGGAGACUGGAAUUCCUGGUGUAGCGGUGAAAUGCGCAGAUAUCAGGAGGAACACCGGUGGCGAAGGCAGGUCACUGGGCCGCAACUGACGCUGAGGAGCGAAAGCAUGGGGAGCGAACAGG
rnacentral:rRNA from 1 species